GAUGAGCUCCAGCGACACACCCCUGGGCACUGUGGCUUUGCUCCAGGAAAAGCAAAAGGCCCAGAAGACACCGUACAUCGUGCUCAGCGGCAGCGGCAAGAGCAUGAACGCGAACACCAUCACCAAGUGAAGCCGUGCUUCCCUCCGGUCCCCUCCCCAACUUUAAUAUUAAAUAAAGUUCCCUCCUUAUUUUUUCCU